AACGAACGCUGGCGGCAUGCCUAACACAUGCAAGUCGAACGAGACCCCUGACUUCGGUUGGCGGGUCUAGUGGCGCACGGGUGCGUAACGCGUGGGAAUCUGCCCUUGGGUUCGGAAUAACUCAGAGAAAUUUGAGCUAAUACCGGAUGAUGACGAAAGUCCAAAGAUUUAUCGCCCAGGGAUGAGCCCGCGUAAGAUUAGCUUGUUGGUGGGGUAAUGGCCUACCAAGGCGACGAUCUUUAGCUGGUCUGAGAGGAUGAUCAGCCACACUGGGACUGAGACACGGCCCAGACUCCUACGGGAGGCAGCAGUGGGGAAUAUUGGACAAUGGGCGCAAGCCUGAUCCAGCAAUGCCGCGUGAGUGAUGAAGGCCUUAGGGUUGUAAAGCUCUUUUACCAGGGAUGAUAAUGACAGUGCCUGAGAAUAAAGCUCCGGCUAACUCCGUGCCAGCAGCCGCGGUAAUGUAUCGU
rnacentral:rRNA from 1 species